UCUUGUACUUUCUACCAAAGUUUUAAUCUACUGUCCAGCAACAGCGAUUCAGCAGUCUGGAUUACCUUCUCCCAAACCUGGAGGUACAAAGAGCCGAAAUGCAGUGACCUGAUGAAACCAGCUCACGCAAGACAGAUUGCAUUAUGCAGCCCUGUGCUUUCUGGACCACAGUGACAUCACUUCGAUAGAGCGGGGAACAGUGGGAAUGCGUGAGGAUUCACAGUCUCAGGGUGGGAUGCAGAAAGCAGUACUGGGAGUUUAUACGAGGAAAUCUGCAGAUGCUGGAAAUUCAAACAACAACACACACAAAAUGCUGGUGGAACGCGGCAGGCCCGGCAGCACCUAUAGGGAGAAGCGCUGUCGACGUUUCAGACCAAGACCCUUCGUCAGGACUAACCGAAAGGAAAGAUAGGUUCUUUUGAAGACCCUGACCUGGAGGCACACGCUGACUUCGGUUGUUUCUGAGAGUGGGAUCCACUCUUGGGAUCUCACAACUGGCCACUAUUAGAUACGACAAGGACGCGGCGUAGAAGACUAGCACGCCUUCAAGGUUCCAGGAUUUCGUGGCUCCGGAGGUGGGCGGGCUGGAGGGUGGUGUCUCCGCAGGGAAUCCGUGUGUUAUGGGAGAUGGAAGAUCAGAAGCAGUGAUCUGGCUGCUGGCCGUGUGCCCAGAGACCCGAGUUCUUCGAGCAGAGCUCGGAAGAAAUGACGCAACAGACUUUUAACACCAUCAAUCACCUUAUCAGACUGUGUCAAGAACAAGAAGUUUGACGAGCGGAUCCCUCUUAUCACACUGUAAAUGAAAACCAACGAGAUAUCCGAUGCUGAAAGUUUGAGAUACCACGCAUCAAACCGCGGACGUUCUAGCUCAGGUUCCAGUUUACAGCCCAGGAUCAAGUGGUGAUGGUGACCUACACUGUGAGCUGACCAAAGAAGCUGCCCACACCCUGGCAUCAGACAAUGGUGCUGUUGGGACACACCCUGGACUCGGGUGUUGAGGGUGCCUGUAUCCUGGACUGAGGCAGUGCAGGUGCCCUGUGCCAGGAUGAGAUGGUGCCCUGUAAUGGAGGCUUUGUUGGUGAUGGUGCACCCUGGGCUCCUGUGAUGAUGGCGCCCUGUUUUGUGGACUUCAU